rnacentral:misc_RNA from 1 species
AACGCACAUUGCGCCCCUUGGUAUUCCAUGGGGCAUGCCUGUUCGAGCGUCAUUUGUACCUUCAAGCUUUGCUUGGUUUUGGGUGUUUGUCCUCCUUCCCCUGGGAGAGGACUCGCCUUAAAGUAAUUGGCAGCCAGUAUUUUGGUUUGAAGCGCAGCACAAGUCGCGAUUCAAGCUCAGAUAGGGGCAUCCAACAAGUCAUUUUAUCACUUUUGACCUCGGAUCAGGUAGGGAUACCCGCUGAACUUAA